rnacentral:lncRNA from 1 species
UUAAAUCUGGACUUUGAUUUUUUUGUAGCUGCAUCAUUUUCCAAGUAGCAUGGCAGACUGUUUACUUAACUCAAACCCCGAGUCUCAAAAUGAUCCUCAAGUCUUCAUCAUUCCUGAGGUUUUUUUACCAGGAGCAAAUUAUCAACAGAUGUCUCCACCUCUUCUAUUAAGGGUUUUCAUGUUUAUACUAAGAGGCCCUGAAGAAGACAACUGGAGUAAGAAGGGGGCUGCCAGCUGAGCUGCCGCCCGCUUGGUUUAGUUAUUCAGUUAUUCAUACUACUGUAAAACAUUACUGCAAAAAAAUGGUUAAGUUAUAAACAACAUUGACUUCUAUGCUAGUCAUAAAGAUUACAGAUUAGAGGCAAUAUUUCAUAUCAGGAACCAGGUUGUUGACUGGCUAGAGUAAUUAACGGUUUCUCAUAAUGUUUUUCUUUUUUUUCCGCAGACCUAAAAAUUUGACUUGAGGUGACUGAAUCAUUGGUUUCAAGCCAGCAUGACCGUACAUGAGAGUGUCAUUUGAAUAAACCUCAACUGUGACUUUCUUUAAUGUCACAGAGCGAGAAUUAUGUUAUAUCGUACAAAUCCAGUUUGCUCUUUUGAGAAUAAUUCACUCUUUCUACAUAAACCCUCUUUUUAACUAUUGGACACUGUGCACAUUGUUUACCUUAACCUUUUACUUACAGUACAUCUGAAGCCAAUUUGAAAAUUCCCCUUGUAGAAACCCCCCACCCACUUUUGCUUUUAGUCACCUACCUAACUCAGCACAGUUUUCAGACGAUUUAAAAAAGUUCACCCGAGUUUCACAGUCAUUUUCAUAUUCUUGUCAUACUUAAUCUGUCUACAUCAUUGUCUCAAUUAUGACUGCAAACAGAACAUCUUGAUAUCUUUUAAUUAAUCUGAUACACUCUCAUUUAGCUGUUUUAAAUAUGUAGCCUAGAAUGCAAAUCACUCUCACCCACAUCCCAAGGUGAAACUCGUAUAGAUUCAGCAACAGAAAUUCAAGCCACCAGAGCUAUUUAGUUUAAUAUAUUAGGAAAAAAGAUUGCUAAAAGAGCAGAAACACCUAAGACGUUCAACAAAGAAAAUGGAUGACAUGUAUUAAAAUAAGGGGGAAUGCAGGCCUACUCUGGAGGGGGGAAAAGAUCCAUUGAUCUUUGAAAAAAGAGGCAGAAAAUGUCAAAUUAACCUGGAAAAAAACAUGUUUUGGGUGUGUAAAAAUCCACAAUAAUGCACCAGAUUCCCCCAGCCUUGAAAGAGAACAUGCCCCUGCUAAAAAGGACCCUUAAUAUCUCAUUUAUGUCGUUCGUUUAAUGCUCCUUUUCUCCUUGCAGCCUCGUAGCUCAGCCGUGCUGCUGCUUCUCUGAGCGGAGUGCAGCAGCGAGCGGAGCUUUUCCUGCGCUACGAUCCGGCCCCUAAAGAGUUAAACUAAUCUCUCCCUCUACCCUUGCUCUAUCUCUCUCUCUUUCUCUCUCACUCUCUCAGCGCACACACAUACACACACAGGCUGCCACCGCCCCAGAUAACAGAGGGGCGCCUCUCCCCAGCCAGCCAGCCUCCGCUAAUCGCAGUGGCAGGAGGGGGGAGUGGAGUGCCGGCGGCCUCUCACAGCGCUGGGCUUUUUAUUGACGCUGCCUGCCUGUGUGUCAUCCGAGUGUGUGUAUGUGUGUGCGUAAGUGUUUGUGUGUGUGCGCGCAAGGCCGUGCAUGCUUGUGGGUGCGUGUCAGAGCGAGAGAGCUAUAAAGAGAAGGGUGUGUGUCUCCCUCUCUGCGUGUAUGUGUGUGUGUCUGUGCGCGGAAAGCAGGGAGAGGCGGGGAACUGGGAGGGUGGGUGGCGAGGUUAUGAGCGGAACUCGACAGAGGCCGACAGACGAGAGAGGAGGAGGAGGAGGAGGAGGAGGGGAGGGAGGGAGGAGGGAGUAGGAGGGGGAGAUCUUUCUUGUGCUGCGCUGAGAGCCGCCACCGCUUCUCCUUCCUCUCAGAUAAGGUUCGUUUGAAGGUUUUAAUCUUUAUUCCCCGUUAAGAAAAUGACAUUUCUGCUCGCGCGUUUUUGGAAAGAAGUGAUCGCUGUUCAUAAUCCCCAAGGUCGAACUGAGACAAGUGUGAUAGAUCGCAUUGGUUAUUCUCUGUCACGGGCCCACUGAUUGAUUGCAUCGAUGAAUUUAGCAGCAUAUUGAUUGGAGCUUAAUCUAUAGGUCUCUCACUGCUCCAAUAAUCUCUCUCUUUCUCUACCCCUCUCUCUCAUCGCGAGCAGCAGCAGCAGCAGCAGUGUUUGGCUCGCGGCCACGCUCGCCCUGCCGCGCCAGGCUGUAAUUAUCCCCGGUGAGGCCGCGCUAACGCAGCGUGGCGCGCCUGUGGGGAACCGGUUAGCUCUACAACACCGGUGGGGGUGCAUGAACGUGCGUGUCCCCUUAUGCGCGUACUCGUGUAAGAGCGUGUUUUUUGUGUUUGUGUGACACGGGGAGAAAAAUGAAGCUGGGAUCGGAGCGUUUGCAGGUCCUUGCCUGAACUUCCAGAGUUUUGGGAAAUGAUGUAGGACUGCAAUUCCGGCGUACGAUUGAUAUACUCUAUUGAAAGUUACAAUUGAUUAUCAAAAAAACGAACAAAAAUAAAAGGCAUUCUCUUGUUGUCUUGCAGUUGAAAACACAUUUAAAAUGUUUUGGUUGGUGACCUUCCAAGGAAAAAUAUUUAAAAAAGAAAAAAGUGCCCUCUGGAUGCCCUUCCAGCAUGUAGAAAAAACUCACUUAAAAUGCCCCCCAGAGUAUAAAAUAUGGAUAAAUAAUGCACACUGGAUGCCCUUCCAGUGAAAAGUAUGCUAGAAAGACUGGAUGCUCUUGUUGUGGUUCAAACAUGUAUACUGGAUGCUCUACCUAAAAAAUAAAAUAAAAGAGAACUCUGGAUGUCCUGCCAGGGAUAAAAUGUAACAGUACAUUGGAUGCCCUUCUAGAAGGUAGAUCACUAAAAACUGCCCUCUGGAUGCCCUUCCAGCAUAUAGAAAAUGCUCAAUCUUAAUGCCCCUCCAGUAGAUUUAAUAUAGAAAAUUAUGCACACUGAAUGCCCUUCCAUUGAAAUCUAUGCGAAAGAGUCCCUUGGAUGCUCUUGUUGUUGCUCAAACAUAAUGAAAGGUGUACACUGGGUGUUCCACCGGUUAAAAGUAUUUUUUAAGAGAGCCCUGGAUGCCCUACCAGGAAUAAAAUGUAAAACUACAUGCCCUUCUAGCAUGUAGAAAAAGCUUACUAUAAAUACCCCCCCCCCAGCGGAUAUUAUAUGGAUAAAUAAUGCACAUUGGAUGCCCUUCCAGUAAAAAGUAUGCUUAAAAGAGUAACCCUGGAUGCUCUUGAUGUGGCUCAAACAUAAUGAAAAGUGUAUACUGAAUUUUUUACUAGUUUAAAGUAUUAGUAUUUUUUAAGAGAACCCUGGAUGCCCUUCCAGGAAUAAAAUGUUAAAUUGGAUGCCCUUCCACCAUAAAGAAAAAAAGAUUACUCUAACUUCCCCUCAAGUGUAUAAAAAAGGUUAAAUAAUGCACACUGGAUGCCCUUCCAGUGAAAAGUAUGCUAAAUGUGUUCCCUGGAUGCUCUUGUUGUGGCUCAAACAUAAUGAAAGGUGUAUACAGUUAAAAGUUUAAGUAUUUUUUUAAGAGAACACUGAAUGCCCUUCCAGGAAUAAAAUGUAAAAUUGGAUGCCCUUCCAGUAGAUAGAUUUCUUAAAAACUUCACUCUGAAUGUCCUUUCAAAUAAGUCAGUGUGAUAAGAGCCUUUGCUGGUAACUCAACCUUAAUACGGAUGUGAAUUUUGUUGUUAUAUUUUUGUAUCAAGAAAUUGAAUUUUAUUAGUAGAUCAACAACGCUAUGAUGCUUUGUCAGCAUAACGAGUGAGUGUUUUAGAGGUGUGUUCAAGCAAACAUGCAUUGAUUGUCCUCGUGCACAAGUUCGAGCACGUGCGUGCAAGUGAGUGUUCGGGCAAGUUUCUGUGCGCGUUUUUGUGUGUGAGACUGUGUGUGUGUUUGUGUGAGUUGCAGUAAGCGAUCCAUAACGAUCUGCAGGUGGAUUGUGCUGAUUAGUACCGGCUGCUGUGGACUGAGCUGCGUGCAAAGAGCUUCCUGCAAUCUGAGCCUGCCGACUGAGAGUGCACGCGCCAUGUGUGUGUCUCUGCUUGUGCGCUAGCAGGCAGUCCUUUUGAAAAGUGUGUGUCACUCCUAGGUGUGUGUCUGUAUUUCGAGGGCAGCACGUGUGUAUUUGGUUAAAUAUGCUGAAGGUGUGUAGGUUUUUGUGCACAUGUGAACUUGCCCUAAAUACGUGUGCAUAUGUGUGUGUAUGUGCAUGUGUGUGUGUGUGUCAGUGUCUGAUUGCAACAGCAGAUGGUUGGAUCACCAUGACCUCCCAGAGUGCAGCUCCUUCUACAUCUUGGUCCACAGAAUUUUAGGUUAUGAGUUAAACAUGAAUUCACGAGUUCCUGACAACACUCGGAGUGACAGUUGAAGGACAUUAUCACACAUUUUAACACGUUUUUUUGCCACCAUUAGCCACCACAAGCAUUUCCAAGGGCACACGCUGUUCUCAGGCUGCCUUUUCUAACCACAAAGUUCACACACAGUCGUAAAAGUGCAGCCAUAAAAGACACCGCUCUCUCGCUCUCCAGACCUGUUUUUUGUUCCUCUCUUUUAGACUCGCAGGCAGCCUAGGUGUUUCUCCUGUCUGUGUGUAUUUUUGUGUGCGUCUAGCGUCAGAAACUGAGUUUGCCCUGCGGUCCCCUGAAGCAAUAU